GAGGCGAGUGUGGGCGAGACACACUUUCCCUUCCCCUUUCACAACCCGAAGGGUCAGGAUCCGUCCUGGGCCAACUGACCUGUUUCCUCCUUCCUGCGCAGUAGCCCCGGGAGACCUGACUUUGCAUAGCCAGAGCUCGGUGCGUUUGUCAGAGCGGCGGCUCCUCCACCAAGGGCGCUCAGAUUCCUUAGGAAACCCCCUGAGGGGUUAGCAACGACCUAGUACUAGGUUUCGAUCCUAAGAUACUGAAGGUCAGGUAAAAUGCGGAAUUCAGGGGGGUUUUCUGAAAAGUAUGUAUAAUAAAUGAAACACCUAUUGUUGACUGAAACGGUGUAGAUUACAUUGCAUUAAUGGGAUAUGGCCUACUUAAACCUGGCUAUGGCUCCACUAUUAGGGGCUGUUGGCAAGUUGCCUCUGAAAAAUGAGCAUAAUAAAGGUUGAUUAUCACUAAAGGGUUGCUCUGAGGCUUAAAUUCUAUAAUACAUGUGAAGUGCUUGGCGUAGUGCCUGAAUGUACUCAAUAAAUGUUAGGUAUUAUUCCAUGGACAAACGAAGGAAGAAGUGAGACCCUAAAAAUCCCUCUGAUUUCAGGUCAACUUUCCUAAAUUGCUCAGACUAGGCAUUGAUCCCUUUUACUGAGCAAAUUGGUAGCUCUAUUUUCUAUCUCCAUUUCUUCCCUUAUAACAUUCAUACGGUCAGUCAACAAACAUUCACUGAAACUCAAAACAAAUGCUGAAGAGACACAGUAUUGAGGGAAUCAGAAAAGCUCUGUCUGCCUUUGUGGAGCUGAGUCUAGUGGGAAAAAGUAUUCCGUCACAUUUUUGGGGAAAACAUUAACAAAGUUUAUGAGCAGAAUUCUGGGCAAUAACAGGACAGCUUAAAAAAAAAAAGGAAAGUCCUUCUGAGGCAUGAGGAGGAGACAGUAAUGUGAGAAAUGAAGAGGGAAUAUUUAAGGCAGAGGGAAUGGCUGCACAAAGGACCGGUGGUAGGAGGGAGCUUGGCUGUUGGAACUGUGGAGUCCACGCUGUUGAGGAAUGCAAGGAGCGAAGAGGAGACUGUUAGGAGACUGGAGAGGUUGGAUCCUUCCUCCCCGCUGCUCCUGUCAUCCCAGUGUUUUUAUCCCCAACAUGAAGUCAUGGCUACAGACAGUCAAUGAUUGCAAGAGAAUAAAUCCAAUGUGUGAGCAGAGAAGGAACACUGGUCUCAGUUGGGCUUAAAGAAGAUCUAACAAUUAGGAGGAACUGCAAACAUCACCUCUUUUUUCAAUACUAGAGGAUACAGCUCACGGUGGUCCAUGCAGGGAUCGAAUCAGCAACCUUGAUGCUACCAGCAUCACGCUCUAACCAACUGAGCUAACCGCUCACCCCUGACAAGCAAAUAUCUUGAAAGGUAUAUAAACAAACUGAAGAUAGAUUACCUAGGGGAAGGAGACCAAGUGUGAGCAGAUGGCCAAGGGAAACUAUUGUAUUCUUUGUAUUGUUUGAAUCUUUAAAACACGAAUGCAUUUGUGUAUUACUUGGCUAAUUGAUAAAAAGUAAAAUAUAGUUUAAAAAUGAUACGGAACGAUAAAGUGUAAAAUUUAAAAGAAAGAAUAUUGUUAUUUCAAUAUGAAGAACAACUUUUAGUUUAUAGAAAUUUCUUGGAUUUUCCUGAGUAGCAAAAUAAGAAUGAAUCCAACUAAAGCUGAACUAAUGUGAUACCUGUCAUUCAA